GCAGCAACGCCGCGUGGGUGAUGAAGGCCUUCGGGUCGUAAAGCCCUGUCGGGAGGGAAGAAAUGAUUGAGAGCUAAUACCUCUUGGUCUUGACGGUACCUCCGAAGGAAGCACCGGCUAACUCCGUGCCAGCAGCCGCGGUAACACGUAGGUGGCAAGCGUUGUCCGGAUUUACUGGGUGUAAAGGGCGUGCAGCCGGGGAGGCAAGUCAGAUGUGAAAUCCGUGGGCUUAACCCACGAACUGCAUUUGAAACUGCUUUUCUUGAGUAUAGGGGAGGUAAUCGGAAUUCCUAGUGUAGCGGUGAAAUACGUAGAUAUUAGGAAGAACACCAGUGGCGAAGGCGGAUUACUGGACGACAACUGACGGUGAGGCGCGAAAGCGUGGGGAGCAAA
rnacentral:rRNA from 1 species